AAGUCGUAACAAGGUAACCGUAGGUGAACCUGCGGUUGGAUCAUUAACAAAUAUAGAAGACCUUCAAGGCCUUUCUAACCCUUUGUGAAUCGUUUAUUGUCUCUGGCGUGUGCAAGCACGCAUGUGGGUGCGAGUAAUUGCCCUACUAAUUUUAAACUAUGUAUUAACCUAUUGUCUAUAAAGCUUUUUAUUUAAUUAAAAACAACUUUUAACAACGGAUCUCUAGGCUCUC
rnacentral:misc_RNA from 1 species